CCUACGGGUGGCAGCAGUGGGGAAUAUUGCGCAAUGGGCGAAAGCCUGACGCAGCGACGCCGCGUGAGGGAUGAAGGUCUUCGGAUCGUAAACCUCUGUCAGCAGGGAAGAACGGUCACUGUGCUAAUCAGCGGUGAAUUUACGGUACCUGCAAAGGUAGCACCGGCAAACUCCGUGACAGCAGCCGCGGUAAUACGGAGGAUGGGAGGUUUAUCCGGAUUUAUUGGGUUAAAAGGGUGCGGAGGCGGACGCUUAGGUCAGUGGGAAAGUUGCGGGGCCAAACGUCGUCGAGCAGUUGAAACUGGGUGCCUUGAGUGCGCGAGAAGUGCGCGGAAUGCGUGGUGUAGCGGUGAAAUGCAUAGAUAUCACGCAGAACUCCGAUUGCGAAGGCAGCGUACCGGCGCCCAACUGACGCUGAAGCACGAAGGCGUGGGUAUCGAACAGGAUUAGAUACCCCUGUAGUC
rnacentral:rRNA from 1 species